AUGGGGACGGGGCAGGGGCAGGGGCAAGGAUGGCUGCUGCUCUGUGUAUCCUCAGGCAAAAAUCGACCCAACCCUGGAAAUUCUCACCCUGAGUCAUGGCUGCUCCUGUGGCUGGUGAGUGUCGCAUCCCAGGAGGCAUUGGGUCAGGGAUCCUGGAGCCAGCGUCCCUCUAGUCCCUGCUGCUCAUCACUGCUGUGUUGUUCAGAUGAUAGGAAAUCACAUUUCUGGAGCAAAUUAACUUCCUGUGAUCAGAAACGUAGAAGGUCGCUUCCUCCACAAAUGAAAGCCGGAGGAGCAUCUUCCCAGCAGAGCAGCGACACCCUCCCUAUAGGUGCAGGACAGGGUCCCUGCAGCAGCCUUGGCUGUGAUGGAGGCAGACUUGGUGGCCAGAGAGACCAGGGGCUGGGGCAGGGGUUGCUCCACUGCCUCCUCUGCCGCGUAACUCAGGCAGAGCCCAGGAGGGGCCUGGGACCCAGUCCAGAGUCCUGGGGUGAGGGCAGGACUGCAGGCCUUCCUUGGUGGACACCAGCCGGCGUGGCUGGGUGGGUGGAGGAUGUCAGAAAAGACAGAAAAGAGAGCGCCCGGGGUCCUGCUGCUGACCCAGAACAGGGAGGGGCCGCAGCCUCCUGCCCUGGGCUGGGACGCGGAGCCCCAGCAACAUGUGGAAGACACAGACAGCGGCCCCCCGCAGGUACAGAGAUGGGGAAGGAGAGUGACCGCUGCCAGGAACCAGCACCCGGUGUGGUUGCUGGGGGAGGGAGGGACGCCCCCUGCCCUGACCCUGGAGGCAGAGGCCACUGCCGGCUGGGCGGGAAACCCAGACCCCCUGGUUCAGACGGGCAGCUGUCAUGCCCGAGUGAUGACCUAAGUCUGGCUGCUCAGCUCGGCCCCUGCCAGGGCCAGGCCCGCACACGCUACAGGAAUCUGCACAGAAGGGGGGAACAAGCCAUGGGGGCGGGGCAGGGAUGGGGUGGGCAGGCGCUGACCACAGAGGGGGGCCGAGGGAAGGGAUGGUGA
rnacentral:lncRNA from 1 species